GGAUACCCGAGGGAAACUUCGGUUAAUACGGUAUAAGACCACACUACCGCAUGGUAGAGGGGUAAAAGGGGCAACCUGGUAUGAGAUGGACUCGCGUCGCAUUAGCUAGUUGGUGAGGUAACGGCCCACCAAGGCGACGAUGCGUAGCCGACCUGAGAGGGUGAUCGGCCACAUUGGGACUGAGAUACGGCCCAGACUCCUACGGGAGGCAGCAGUGGGGAAUAUUGGGCAAUGGAGGAAACUCUGACCCAGCAAUGCCGCGUGAAUGAAGAAGGUCUUCGGAUUGUAAAGUUCUUUAGUCAGGGAAGAAGUCAAUGACGGUACCUGAAGAAUAUGCUCCGGCUAACUACGUGCCAGCAGCCGCGGUAAUACGUAGGGAGCAAGCGUUGUUCGGAAUGACUGGGCGUAAAGGGUGCGUAGGCGGUUGUACAAGUUAGAAGUGAAAUACCCAGGGCUUAACUCGGGUGCUGCUUCUAAAACUGUAUGACUUGAGUGCAGUAGAGGUUAGUGGAAUUCCUAGUGUAGCGGUGGAAUGCGUAGAUAUUAGGAGGAACACCAGAGGCGAAGGCGGCUAACUGGACUGCAACUGACGCUGAGGCACGAAAGUGUGGGGAGCAAACAGGAUUAGAUACCCUGGUAGUCCACACUGUAAACGAUGGAUACUAGAUGUAGGAGGUAUCGACUCCUUCUGCGUCGCAG
rnacentral:rRNA from 1 species